GAAUAUUAGUCAAUGCUCGCAAGAGUGAACUAGCUAACUGAAAUCACAGGAACCACUAUGUGUGGUGAAUGUAAUAACGUAAGGGAAAAAAAUGAUAUUACCUUACUAUUAGUGUUGUCCAAAACUGGUGCCAGAAGACUCGGUAAGGCCAGAGACGCAAACGUUAGUCGUCCUAAUCAGGCGUAAAGGGUAUGUAGGCUGCUUUAAAAUUUUAUAGUAAUAUAGCUAUGUAAAUAAUUUUAUUUACAAUUAAAUUAUAGAAUUAAUUAAAGCUAGAAUCAAAUUGAGGAUAAAUCAAAUAAUACCUAGUGUAGGGUUUGAAUCUGACGAUAUUAGGUAGAGUACUAAUGGUGAAAGCUUUUUAUCUAGAAAUGAUUGACGCUGAGAAACGAAGGUGAGAAUAGGAAAUAGGAUUAGAUACCCAGAUACCUCUCACAGUCAACGAUGAAUGGUGGUUGUUAGUUAGUUUAUAUUUAACUGAUAACGAUGUUAACACGAUAACCAUUCCGCCUUGCGAGUACGGUUGCAAAACUGAAACCAAAAAAAUUAGUCGGUCUCGAAGCAAACGAAGUGAAGCAUGUUAUUUAAUUC
rnacentral:rRNA from 1 species